rnacentral:rRNA from 1 species
AGCAACGCGUGGAAAACCUGCCGUAUACUGGGGGAUAACACUUAGAAAUAGGUGCUAAUACCGCAUAAGCGCACAGCUUCGCAUGAAGUGGUGUGAAAAACUCUGGUGGUAUACGAUGGUUCCGCGUCUGAUUAGCUUGUUGGUGGGGUAAUGGCUCACCAAGGCGACGAUCAGUAGCCGGCCUGAGAGGGUGAACGGCCACAUUGGGACUGAGACACGGCCCAAACUCCUACGGAAGGCAGCAG